GUGAGAGUCAGGCCUGCUCACUCUGCGCCUCAGCUGUGGACCCCUUCCAGGCCCAAGUUUCAGCCUCGCAGACCGAGUCAGGCAGGCAGGCAGGCCCCAAGGUUCCCAGGCCCCAGCCUUGGAGAUAGCUCUUGGAGACCCCAACUCACCAUCUCCUACUCAGCUGUUAAUGCCUCCCAGACUGAUCCUGUGCUUCUGCUGGGGACCUGGGCCUGCCUGCCGUGAGUCCCGUGAUAGAAAAAUGGUCACCAGCGACUGGCCUGAACGGUCUCCACAAGUCAGCUUGGCCACAGAGUUCUAAAGUGAUUUCCGUCAACCAAUAAACUGGAGAUGCUGGAUGAAAUAAAGCUCUCA
rnacentral:lncRNA from 1 species